rnacentral:rRNA from 1 species
UACGGGGGGGGCAAGCGUUGUUCGGAAUUACUGGGCGUAAAGGGCUCGUAGGCGGCCAACUAAGUCAGACGUGAAAUCCCUCGGCUUAACCGGGGAACUGCAUCUGAUACUGGAUGGCUUGAGUUCGGGAGAGGGAUGCGGAAUUCCAGGUGUAGCGGUGAAAUGCGUAGAUAUCUGGAGGAACACCGGUGGCGAAGGCGGCAUCCUGGACCGACACUAACGCUGAGGAGCGAAAGCCAGGGGAGCAAACGGG